rnacentral:rRNA from 1 species
GGAGAACGCUGGCGGCGUGCCUAAUACAUGCAAGUCGAGCGGGGAUUAUGCUUGAUCGCUUCGGUGAGACGGCAUAUAUCCUAGCGGCGGACGGGUGAGUAACGCGUGGGUAAUCUACCUCGUAGUUCGGGAUAACAGGCCGAAAGGCUUGCUAAUACCGGAUGAGUUCAUGCUUAUGCAUAUAGGCAUGAAGAAAGGGCUAGCCCGCUAUGAGAUGAGCCCGCGUCCCAUUAGCUUGUUGGUGGGGUAAUGGCCUACCAAGGCAACGAUGGGUAGCCGGCCUGAGAGGGUGUACGGCCACACUGGGACUGAGACACGGCCCAGACUCCUACGGGGGGCAGCAGUAGGGAAUUUUCGGCAAUGGGCGAAAGCCUGACCGAGCGACGCCGCGUGAGGGACGAAGGCCUUCGGGUUGUAAACCUCUGUCUGGGGGGAUGAGAACGGACGGUACCCCCGGAGGAAGCCCCGGCUAACUACGUG